UCCUGAUGGCUCAUAUGGUAGAGAGAAUCUGCCUGCAAUGCAGGAGACCCAGGUUUGAUCCCUGGGUCAAGAA
rnacentral:tRNA from 1 species